rnacentral:rRNA from 1 species
GUGAGGAAUAUUGCGCAAUGGAGGCAACUCUGACGCAGCCAUGCCGCGUGCAGGAAGAAGGCGCUACGCGUUGUAAACUGCUUUUAACCGGGAAGAAACCCCAGGACGUGUCCUGGGUUGACGGUACCGGAGGAAUAAGCACCGGCUAACUUCGUGCCAGCAGCCGCGGUAAUACGAAGGGUGCAAGCGUUAUCCGGAUUCAUUGGGUUUAAAGGGUGCGUAGGCGGAGCGUUAAGUCAGUGGUGAAAUCCUGCAGCUUAACUGUAGACUUGCCAUUGAUACUGGCGCUCUUGAGUGCGCUUGAAGUGGGCGGAAUGUGCCGUGUAGCGGUGAAAUGCUUAGAUAUGGCACAGAACACCAAUUGCGAAGGCAGCUCUCUAAGGCGAUACUGACGCUGAGGCACGAAAGCGUGGGGAUCGAACAGGAUUAGAUACCCUUGUAGUCC